rnacentral:misc_RNA from 1 species
AACGCACCUUGCGCCUCUUGGUAUUCCGAGGGGCACACCUGUUUGAGUAUCGUGAAAUCAUCAACCCAGAACCCUUUUUGUUGGGGGGUUCGAGGGCUUGGACUUGGAGGUCGUUGCCGGGUCCCCCCCUUACGUGGGGGGGGAAUCGGCUCCUCUUGAAUGCAUUAGUGGGAGCCCUCUCUCACCCUGCUCUCUUUGCCUCUCGGCGUGAUAAUUCAUCUGCGCCGACGUUGUGAGAAAAGGGGGGAAAAGGAGACCGCUUCGAACCGUCUCUCGUCUGAGACAAUUUUAUGAACCCUUCGAUCUCAAAUCAGGUGGGACUACCCGCUGAACUUAA